rnacentral:rRNA from 1 species
AUGAACGCUGGCGGCGUGGAUAAGGCAUGCAAGUCGAGUGGGUUUAGACCCACGGCAAACGGGUUCGGAUAACAUAGGAAUCUUCCCUAAAGUCGUGAAUAAUUCGGAGAAAUCCGGAAUAAUACACGAUGUGCUCUACGGAGUAAAGAUUUAUCGCUUUAGGAGGAGCCUGUGUCCUAUCAGCUUGUUGGUGAGGUAAUAGCUCACCAAGGCUAUGACGGGUAGGGGGUGUGAGAGCACGGCCCCCAACAUUGGAACUGAGACACUGUCCAAACACCUACGGGUGGCUGCAGUCGAGAAUAUUCCACAAUGGACGAAAGUCUGAUGGAGCGACGCCGCGUGCGGGAUGAAGGUCUUCGGAUUGUAAACCGCUUUUCUACGGGAAGAACUAAGGUGACUGUACCGUAGGAAUAAGAGGUUACUAACUCUGU